rnacentral:pre_miRNA from 1 species
UAACUUUGUCUUAAGUCAAAGUUCUUAAAAUUUGUCCAACUUUCUAGAAACAUUUACCAAGAUCUACAAUAUCAAAUGAGUUACUAUGAAAAUAUAUAUAAUGGCAAAUUUAAUAAAACUAAUUGAAGUUCUAAAUGUUGGUAGAUUUUUCUAAAAACUUGGUCAAACCUUAAGAAGUUUGACUUAGAACAAAGCUGG